rnacentral:pre_miRNA from 1 species
ACAUGAUGACCCUGAUGAUGAUGAUGAUGAUGAUGAUGAUGAUGAUAAUUAUGAUGAUCACCAUUAUCAUCAUCAUCAUCACCAUACGAA